GGGGGAGGGGCCACGCGCCCACCGCCCCGCGCGCCCGACAUUCUCCGGCCGCCGCCGCCGCCCCGCGCCGGCCCCCGCUCCGGCCCCCGCGCAUGCGCGCCCCCGGGGGCCCGCGCACGGGUGGAAGGGGGUGGGGUCGCUCUGCAGCCGCCCCUCGCGGGGCCGGGCCCCUCCCGCCCCACCGAUGGCGGCGGGCGGGGACGGGUCUGCGGGCGCGGGUUUGCGACCUCAGGAGCUCCGUUAAUGAAUGAGCUAGAGAAACGGCACAUCGACAAUUUCGGGAAACCUACAGUCGGUGCUGUGACUGUUGCAUUUCUGCCCCCUUCUGGUCCCUGUGAACGAGCAUCCAGGACUGCAAUUUUACAGCGCUUCCUCUCUUAAGCAGGCACAGCAGUGCAGCAUUCCUGAUACAAGGAAGCACACAGCCUGACAUACCACCAUGGGAGGAGACACAGAUAACAUCAUCUUCUGCAUGAGGACCCAUCCUGGGAGGAAUGAGCCUCUUCCCGUUCCACACAACAUAGGGACUCCAUCCCAUCAUUGCUGGUUCAGGCGAAGAAAUGAGGUGAAGAUGGGAAUCAGCUUUUCUGGCUAGCAGUCAAUCCAGGGCACAUCUGGCAGUUGCCCAGUGCAUAAAGCAGGUCCCAUCCAUAGACUUCCCAGAGCUUUACCAUCUGGUUCUUUUAAUUCUGUAUUCUCCAUCUAACUUCUCCUAAGCAUGUUCUGGCAACCGCUCUACAGUCCAUGAGAGACUCCCGGCCUGCCCCAGAAUAUAAAAGGUCUCCCUGUUAUAUCCAGUGGGCUGGGAGAGAAGGAAAGAAGCCAUGGUGUUAAAGGAAUUCCCAAAGGGCACCAAAUACAGAGAACAGACAGACAUUGUAAAAACACACACAUAAAAAUACUUCAUUGUUUUAAACCGAAAGACAUUUUCUGUUGUCAGAUGCAAGCAAACUGCAUUGCUUUCACAUGGAGAGGUUGUUGGCAAGAAACUAACUGGCCUGUGUUUAAAAGCAUUCCAGGGAUACUUAUGCCCUUGGGAGACCAGAAACACAAAGAGAAACCACCUACAUACAACCUGACACCACUUACCAGGACCAGCUGGAUUUAGGGUUAAGCUUGUCACAGAGCACAGAGAAAGAGCCCACCUUUAUCUCCUAAGAACUUGCAGACUUGCCCAAGAACUUUCAGACUGAACGUACCUACUAUCCAUCCCUUGGCUACGUUCUUGGAAUGACUAUUCAGAGAAUGGCAAUAACAUAAGUGUGAGCCUUCCUAAGCAGUAUCUGGGGUGUCUUGGAUGGAUACCAGGCAUGCGUGAAGGAAACAGCAUUUCACUCUGCAGUUUUCCAGGAGCUUUAAGACAAGCCAAAUUGCCUCAAAGGGCCCUGAGUAACUUAACAUGCACCAACAGCGGCAGAAUGCACCCGUUUGUGCAGUAAAAAGAACAUGAGGGUCCCUAGCUCUUUCUGCUCUAUAAUGCCAGGCCAUGAGUCCAUUUUUUAAAACAUAUUAAGAGCAUAUCCAUUAAAAUAAAACUAAAGGGAACAUAGACAUUCUACACUACAGUAAAAGAAAAGCUAAAAAAAAAGUUUUCUGUCCAUCAGCAUUCAUGUGGAACCUCUCCAUCUGCUCUGACACCCAGCAUUCCUGUAUCUACUUACCCCUUGGUUGUCCAAACCAGUGUGAGCACCUUGGUCCCUGGAUGCCCACGGCCAGUUGCAAGCACCUCCAUCUUCCACAGGUACAGCCAUCUCCCUAGACUCUCCGGUGAGCUGGUGCAUGGACAGAGGCAUGGGAACGCCAGCAGCCAGUGGGCCAUCACUUGAUUGUUCUGACAUGGAGAUCCCACUAAUUUUAAGCACAUGUCGCAUCUCUCUCCUUUUCCACACUUUCACCCAUAUCUCAAUCCUCUAAUGGUACUUACAUGCAUUUAUAUAUAAACCCUUCCAUGCUAUUAUUUCUGUUUCAUCCCUUCCCUCCCACCUCAUGAACCCAUUAGAUUUUUAAAAUUCUUUGAAUUUAAAAAGCAUAUGAAAAGUUGAUCAUCACUGUCUGAUACCAUCUGCUUCUGCAUAUACAUACCACAAGCAGAAAUUGCCUUGUGAAAUGUUCCUGCUGAACAUUUCCGUCGUUAUGUCCCAAACCCCUCACUAAUUGGCUUCUACACCUACAGUCACUCCUCUCCCUGCCUCAAUUCUGUUUUUAACUUAAUCACUCUCCUUCAUGCAAUUUCUUUUUCUGUCAUCUCAAGCCAGUUUGGUGUGUACCUUCGUUUCAUACUUCCUUUUAAGAAAUUCAUAUUAUUUUGAUCUCGACCCCUCUUUUCCCAGCCCUGCACUCAAAGAGGAGGUGAGAAGGACCCAGGCACAUCAGUGACUCUCUCUGUUGGGGGGCAGAGCAGGACCGGGAUCCCCCUGUAACAGAAGGUGAGCCUGGAGCCAGGGAUGACAAUGCCACUCAGCAGGACACCAUCCCACGGUGUGAGCAAGGCAAGGCAGAGCAGGGCUGGGGAUGGCAAAGGUUUCACCAUCAAGCAAAAACAAAGUGAGGCCCCAGGUCAAGCCAGUCACCAAGUCAGGGACGUGGCUGGGCUCAGGCCCUCCUACAGCACAGCUCUGGCCAGGAGCGGGUGCCCCAGCGCGGGUGGGAGCCCCAGGUGAGGGCAGGUAAGGCUUAUGAACUCACCUAGGGCCCUGAUGCUCUGGUCUUAAAUCUGCUCUGCAGUGCCCUGCGUAGUGACUGUGCUGGUUCAAGAGAUGGAACCAGGCACAACCCCAGGAGUUAUGACCAGCAGUAAAUAUGGUGUCUCCAAAUAACUUUCUUAAAAUAUCGUUGAAUGAUAAUUGGAGGAAAACAGGUUAUAAGCAAAUAGGGUUCAGAAUUAGCUUUAUCCUGCCCUGGUACACCCUCUGAUCUAGUAAGUGCCUUCAUUCCCAGGCCCCCUGACCUCUGGCAGAAAGAGGCAUGCUUUCAGUUUUCUUCCCUUUUACUCACACUCCUGGCUUUAGCCACAUUUAGGGAUAAUCCAUAGACACUCCUUGUUGUCUCAUCUAAUAUGUUUGGAUCCAACACCCAGAGUCUGCUUCGUGCAGACUUAACAUCUUUUUUGACAACCUCAGAAAUAUUUGAUGAGGCCUAUUUUUCCCCAUGUUUGUUUCCUCCUUUUAUUUGUUGAUUUAAAUCUGCUAUUAUACUGAAACAACAUACUAAUACAGUACACAUCUUUCACAGUGAUCAAACACAGAGAAUGUAUUUAAAGGUUUACAGACCAGUCUAAAUCCAUCACCGCUCUUACCUCCAUCACAUAACAUGCUGCCCACAUUGUCUUAAAAAAAAGUGUAAGACAGGGAAGAAAAAUUGUGAUUGUCCUUUCCCUCUUAAUGAAAAUAAGCCUCUAUGUCCAACCUAGUCCCUUUAAUACUUCCCAAAUGCUUCUGAACAAGCAAUCCCAAGCAAAGAAAGAAACCAUCCAAGAGCACAGGAGAAAAAAAUACACACAGAAACAACAAAGUAACCAACAAAAAUAUUUGCAUAAUAAAACAUUUCAAUAAUCCCAGAGUGUUAUCUCUUACACUUUUAGCUCUCUGGCCUGCAGUUGUAUUCUGAGGCUGCCCACUGACCUUUCUCACAAGUGUUAUGAGAAUUAGCUGAAAAUACCCUUGGGGUUGACAGUGACUUGCAGGAUUGCUGUUAGCAGCUUAAUACAGGGCACCAGAGGUAUUGGCUACUGUACAAUAAUGCUACUGCGGCAUGCAACAAAGCUGUUUUAAGGCUUGCGGCACGGCAGACUACAACAGCUUCCAGCUUUUUGAAGAAGUUCAGUAUUGGACUCUGCUGUAAUUAAUCAUUAAAAGAAAAUGUUCCUCACAAUUGAAGUUCAAAUGAUGCAUAAAGCAUAUAAAUAUCACUGAUUUGGUAUCACAUCUGAAGGAUUACAGAACAGCACAGCAGACUUGAUGAGGAACUCAAGAACACUGUAUAGUGAAAAUCUGACAGAUGGCUUUGGCAGGCAAACUACAAUAACACAGGUGAAAGUUUGACCAAGCCACUGCUGCUAAUGCUGGUUAAGUCUUCCUGACACAACCUCAGAGGGCUGGCAGUGGCAGCUUUGAAAUAAAUGCAGCAGGAAAUCAGGUUGAAAAAGUAGGAAGGUGCUUGUGAGAAAGACCCUUCCAGCACUGUGGCGACGGGACAUAGUCCCAUCCUCUGAAAUGACAACGUAGCCAUGUCAGCCUUUAGCCCAUUUUACAACUAACCUCUAAACUUCUUAUUGCACGGUUGUUUAGGUCUCAAGUGAAAUGUGAUAAAGGAAGUACAUGUAUGCUUUUGUGGAUUUAAUGUGCUAUUUGGGACAAAAAAAAAAAAAAUUGUUGUACUUCUGUUCAGGUAGGAAUCUGACAAAGGGAGGAGAGAAUCGCUUGCAAGUCUAGACCAGAAACAAUUAGUUGCUGUAAAAGUCAUGGGUUUUGAGAAAAUAGAAGUUGGCAACCUUGCAAA